rnacentral:rRNA from 1 species
AUUGAACGCUGGCGGCAGGCUUAACACAUGCAAGUCGAGCGGGGUGAGGUGCUUCGGUACUGAUCCUAGCGGCGGACGGGUGAGUAAUGCUUAGGAAUCUGCCAUUUAGUGGGGGACAACAUUCCGAAAGGGAUGCUAAUACCGCAUACGUCCUACGGGAGAAAGCAGGGGAUCUUCGGACCUUGCGCUAAAUGAUGAGCCUAAGUCGGAUUAGCUAGUUGGUGGGGUAAAGGCCUACCAAGGCGACGAUCUGUAGCGGGUCUGAGAGGAUGAUCCGCCACACUGGGACUGAGACACGGCCCAGACUCCUACGGGAGGGAGCAGUGGGGAAUAUUGGACAAUGGGCGGAAGCCUGAUCCAGCCAUGCCGCGUGUGUGAAGAAGGCCUUUUGGUUGUAAAGCACUUUAAGCGAGGAGGAGGCUACCUAGAUUAAUACUCUGGGAUAGUGGACGUUACUCGCAGAAUAAGCACCGACUAACUCUGUGCCAGCCGCCGCCGUAAGAC